rnacentral:rRNA from 1 species
CCUACGGGAGGCAGCAGUGGGGAAUAUUGCACAAUGGGGGAAACCCUGAUGCAGCGACGCCGCGUGAGUGAAGAAGUAAUUCGUUAUGUAAAGCUCUAUCAGCAGGGAAGAAAAUGACGGUACCUGAGUAAGAAGCCCCGGCUAACUACGUGACAGCAGCCGCGGUAAUACGUAGGGGGCAAGCGUUAUCCGGAUUUACUGGGUGUAAAGGGAGCGUAGACGGCAGUGCAAGUCUGGAGUGAAAGGCGGGGGCUCAACCCCCGGACUGCUCUGGAAACUGUACGGCUGGAGUGCAGGAGAGGUAAGUGGAAUUCCUGGUGUAGCGGUGAAAUGCGGAGAUAUUAGGAGGAACACCAGUGGCGAAGGCGGCUUACUGGACUGUAACUGACGUUGAGGCUCGAAAGCGUGGGGAGCAAACAGGAUUAGAUACCCUGGUAGUC